ACAUAUAUUUGGCAAAACAGUUGAAAAGCUGCGACGCAAAGCUAUAGGGCCUGUAAAAUGGCAGCCAGUUGCAUUA
rnacentral:ncRNA from 1 species